rnacentral:rRNA from 1 species
UGAGGAACAUGACCUUCGGCGGGGGAUAGCCGGCCCAACGGCCGGGUAAUACCGCGUACGACCACAUGGGGACAUCCCUGAGUGGUGAAAGCAGCAAUGCGCCGAUGGAGUGCCUCGCGGCCUAUCAGCUAGUUGGUGAGGUAACGGCUCACCAAGGCAACGACGGGUAGCUGGCCUGAGGAGGGUGACCGGCCACACUGGAACUGAGACACGGUCCAGACUCCGUACGGGAGCAG